rnacentral:rRNA from 1 species
GAUGAACGCUGGCGGCGUGCCUAAUACAUGCAAGUCGAACGCUGGAAAUCUAGCUUGCUAGAUUGAAGGAGUGGCGAACGGGUGAGUAAUACAUAAGCAACCUACCCACGAAGACUGGGAUAAUCUCUGGAAACGGGGACUAAUACCGGAUAGGUAAUCGGAAGGCAUCUUCUGAUUAUUAAAGGUUAAAAACACUGGUGGAUGGGCUUAUGGCGCAUUAGUUAGUUGGUGAGGUAACGGCCCACCAAGACGAUGAUGCGUAGCCGGCCUGAGAGGGUGAACGGCCACAUUGGGACUGAGACACGGCCCAGACUACUACGGGAGGCAGCAGUAGGGAAUUUUCGGCAAUGGGGGAAACCCUGACCGAGCAACGCCGCGUGAGUGAUGACGGCCUUCGGGGUGUAAAGCUCUGUUGUAAGGGAAGAACGGUAGAUAGAGAAUAUCUAAAUGACGGUACCUUACCAGAAAGCCACGGCUAACUACGUG